rnacentral:rRNA from 1 species
UGGGGAAUUUUGGACAAUGGGCGAAAGCCUGAUCCAGCAAUGCCGCGUGUGUGAAGAAGGCCUUCGGGUUGUAAAGCACUUUUGUCCGGAAAGAAAUCCUUGGCUCUAAUACAGUCGGGGGAUGACGGUACCGGAAGAAUAAGCACCGGCUAACUACGUGCCAGCAGCCGCGGUAAUACGUAGGGUGCAAGCGUUAAUCGGAAUUACUGGGCGUAAAGCGUGCGCAGGCGGUUUGCUAAGACCGAUGUGAAAUCCCCGGGCUCAACCUGGGAACUGCAUUGGUGACUGGCAGGCUAGAGUAUGGCAGAGGGGGGUAGAAUUCCACGUGUAGCAGUGAGAUGCGUAGAGAUGUGGAGGAAUACCGAUGGCGAAGGCAGCCCCCUGGGCCAAUACUGACGCUCAUGCACGAAAGCGUGGGGAGCAAACAGGAUUAGAUACCCUGGUAGUCCACGCCCUAAACGAUGUCAACUAGUUGUUGGGGAUUCAUUUCCUUAGUAACGUAGCUAACGCGUGAAGUUGACCGCCUGGGGAGUACGGUCGCAAGAUUAAAACUUAAAGGAAUUGACGGGGUCAUAGCUGUUUCCU